GGACCGGCACCGCGCGUGCGUAGAGCUGUCAGCCGCACCCAGGCCGCGCUUCUAGCAAAGUUGCAAAGCAACGGGCAGACCUGUCAGAACGGUGAAGAUCCCGGCGAUGGAAAAAAGGCGAAACUGCUCCGCGUAGGCUGCUCGGAGUGGCAUCGCACCUUGUUCGAGUCCGAAGAAGUUCCCGCUUCUCUAAGCCGGCUGAAGGGAUGCGAGUCUCCUCUUGUCCCAACGGGACUGUGUCCUGACACAGAGUGGACUCCGCCCCAAGAGUGCGAGCGUCCUGAGCGUUCAGGGCAUCCUGAGCCGCGGAAGGCAUCCGGCCACACCCCGCUCUUUACCCGCCAACGCCAGCCCAGGUGGCCAGGCUCAGAAUGGACUGUGAGCCUGUGUGUUAUGCAUCUCUGGUUGUAGAGACAAAAGGACAAAGAUGGAACCCACCAAGGAUGCUCCCGGCUGAAUGAAUUGUUGUUCUCUGGCUUACACAAAGUCAAGCGAAUGAUCGUCCCAUGUUAUGUAAUAUAGCAACGGCCUGCUUACCUUACUCCUUUAAUCUACGUUAUUCUGGAAAGUAACACUUGAAAUAAAAAGUAGAUACAUUCUACUGGGAAUGUGACCCUCAGAGAAGGAAAGAAAGACCGAGGGGUUGAACCUGAACACGUGAAAGAGAAUCCAAGACUUUCCCUAAGAGACUCUUUCCUGUUCUCGUGAUGCACUAAUGACAGAAAUCAUAUGACUAAUGGAGAGAAACUGGUAGAUAUACAAGAAGAACUGCAUUGGGAUAACCGCCAUCUUACAAAGGUAUGCAUCCAGGCCUAUUCUGCCCUUGGACCACAUUGUACGUUUAGUGUUUCGGAAGAGAGAAAUCAUCAAAGGCGCACCCAAAGAAACAUCCGAAUGAAAGCUCAGUGGCGUUUGCUUUUCCCAAGGACCGGCAUCAUGGUUUCAGAGUUAACACACUGGAGAAAUACCUAGCCCUCCAUGUCACUCCCUACAUCCUCAACACUCACUCAGAGAGGGGCAUUGAAGAAAGGAUCACCAGUGAGUAGUACUUCUCAAAGAGAAAGCAGAAGAGUUUAUUGCUGCUGAAAGUCUCUGAAUAAAUCCAUGCGCCAAAUCACAACCCGAAAAAGCUCCAGAAAGGAUGCACAUGGUCUAAAAAAUGGAGAGACUGGUGUCCUAUGCCCUGUCUUGUUACCCUGAGACAUGAUGUUGGGUAGAGUUGGUCUAGGUACAAUAUUAUUGAAUUUGCAGGUGCCUAAGUAUAGGGGUCUCACACUGCCAUAUACAGUCAUUAUAGUGUCGGGAGACAAGAAAAUCUUUUUUCGGUGCAUCUGAGAACAUUGGAAAAAUAAUUGCAAUGGCCUGCAGACCUUAGGGACUUUUUGGAGAAAUACAGUGUGACCUCUGAAAAUGCUUUAGAUUCUGUCAAAUAUCAAGAUGCAGAUCCAUAUCAGUGAUUACCAAAAAGGCCAGUAUUCAUUGUUCUUGAAGCUAGUCACAGAUAGACACCAAUCAAGAGUCAAAUGCUGUAUCCUCUAACCAUUUAGAGCUUGGAUGCAGCCCUGAGUAUAAAGGAAGUACUGUGGACCCCUUCACCACACAAAGGUCAUAUGUUCAAAUCUCACCCCUCCCAAAGGUGAUGAUAUUAGGGGGCUGGGACUUCCAGGAGUGAACAGAACAUAUUCCCUUAUUAAAAAGGCUCAAGGGAGCUCACUUACCCUUCUGUCAAGUGACAACAGACAGCUGCUGUGAGUAAUUAAGUGUGUUCUAGCCACAGACCCUGCCAGUGCCUUGAUCUUGAAUUUUCUAGCCUGCAGAAGUAUGAGAUGUUUCUGUUAUGUAUAAUUUACUCAAUAUAUAGUAGGUGUUCUGUUAGCUUAUUUUAAAAUGCAAUGCCUGUAUUUAUCUUGAAAAUAAAGGACUUUAGGAGUGUGUGUGUGUGUGUGUGUGUGUGUGUGUGUGUGUGUGUGUGUGUGUGUUCACAUACAUAGCAUAGACAAUAUGUAAGAACUGUGUUCAGUUAUGGAAAAAAUAAAGCCACUUUGCCAUACA
rnacentral:lncRNA from 1 species